rnacentral:rRNA from 1 species
AACGAACGCUGGCGGCAUGCCUAACACAUGCAAGUCGAACGAGACCUUCGGGUCUAGUGGCGCACGGGUGCGUACCGCGUGGGAACCUGCCCUUGGGUUCGGAAUACCUCCCCGAAAGGGGUGCUAAUACCGGAUAAUGUCUUCGGACCAAAGAUUUAUCGCCUUUGGAUGGGCCCGCGUUGGAUUAGCUAGUUGGUAGGGUAAAAGCCUACCAAGGCGACGAUCCAUAGCUGGUCGGAGAGGAUGAGCAGCCACACUGGGACUGAGACACGGCCCAGACUCCUACGGGAGGCAGCAGUGGGGAAUAUUGGACAAUGGGCGAAAGCCUGAUACAGCAAUGCCGCGUGAGUGAUGAAGGCCUUAGGGUUGUAAAGCUCUUUUACCCGGGAUGAUAAUGACAGUACCGGGAGAAUAAGCGCCGGCUAACUCCGUG